UACGGGGGGAGCAAGCGUUGUUCGGAUUUACUGGGCGUAAAGGGCGCGUAGGCGGCGUGACAAGUCACUUGUGAAAUCUCCGGGCUUAACCCGGAGCGGCCAAGUGAUACUGUCGUGCUAGAGUGCGGAAGGGGCUACUGGAAUUCCCGGUGUAGAGGUGAAAUUCGUAGAUAUCGGGAGGAACACCGGUGGCGAAGGCGGCGAUCUGGGUAGAUACUGACGCUGAGGUGCGAAAGCGUGGGGAGCAAACAGG
rnacentral:rRNA from 1 species